GUCCACUUGAGAUUUUGAUUUCUUCAUUUUUGGGGUUGUGUCUUAAAUGGAAAAACGGAGGAUGAACGGUGUGGAUAUAUAAUAAAUACAUUAAGGUCGACCCCACGUAAGGGCUGCACCUAAAACGCUCCCUUACUGGAGUAAAAACAGAGCCAUCUCAGAUGAGAAAUUUAUUGUAUGUGUUGCCUCCAGAAACCAACAUUGUGGCUACUGCUGCGUUGAAUAUGGCCUUUUGGGUUUUCUUCUUGUCUUCCAUUUCUCCUGCUGAUGGAUCGGGCAUAUCCUCACAUCUGUAUUGGUAUCAAGAAAUUCAGAGAGAGAGAGAGAGAGAGAGAGAGAGAGAGAGAGAGAGAGAGAGAGAGAGAGAGAGAGAGAGCUUCACAUCUGUAUUGGUAUCAAGAAAUUCAGAGAGACAUCUGUAUUGAGAGAGAGAGAGAGAGAGAGAGAGAGAGAGAGAGAUGCCUCUGAAUCAUAUGCUUCAUUACUUUUGACUGUUAUAGAAUCUUUUCUUGCCUUUUUGCAGACGAUGUUUAAAUAUAGAGGGUGAUAUGGGCGUCCAUUUGUUGCUCCCUUCACUGCUAAGGUGGGCCACACCAUGUAAGUUUACAGGUAUUAGGCAUAAUUUUAGAUUGUUCUCUGAGUUGUAGCCUACCUAAUUUUUGGAUUGGCCAGAUUUUUGGUUUCUGCAGUGAACAUGAUGGAUGGUGAGAAUGCCGUUGUUGAUGGACUGAACCAGAUGGCCAGUUGAAACCAGCCCCACAGCAUCCUUUGUACCACUAUAAGUUGUGGUGCCGGCACAGGGACCAUUUGAGUACCUUUUGAGCUAAAGAUGGACCGACUAGAUCUUGCUAAUAUAUCCUGAUUCAAAACUUCAUUUGCCCCAUGAAGUUUUCAAUGGUUUGUAUUUCCCUUCUCAUUAUUUCUUGUUGUGUGGCCCACCUGAAUUUUGUAUUCCCCUAAUUUUUUGGGCUCAUGUCCUAUGAUGAGCCUCCAGUUUGAUUUUUAGAUUUAGGUGUUAAGAAAAUUUUCAAGGAUAUUGGGCUCAGGUAGCUUAGCCCAUAUGGGUAUCAAUGGGCUGGGAUGGCCCUUGGACUUCUGGACUUGGCCUGGCUUGGGUCUGUCUUGGGUUUGAGUUUCAGGCCUGAUGGUUGGGCUCAGUUUAAGGCUGUUAUAAAUAGGCUGGGCUUGGACUUGGAUGUCUGAAUCCCAUUGUCCAGCGAAAUUCCUUUAAAAAAAGUGCUGAUUAGGUGAGGCCCUGCCCAUGGGGCCCACCGUGUUGUAUAUCAAUGCCAUCCAUCCGUUUUUAUAGCUUAUUUUACAGCAUGGUCUAAAAAACGAGGCAAAUUUGUAUUUUAGGUUGACCACACAGGAGGAAAAUAGUGGUGAUUAAACCCCCACUAUUAAAAACUUCAGAGUACCUAUUGUAAUGUUUAUUUUCCAUCCAACUCUUUCAUAAGAUCUCAGGGAAAUGGAUGAAUGGAAAACAAAAAUAGAAGCUUGAUCCAAUACUUUUGUGUCCCCAAAGUAGUUUUUAAUGGUGAGAGUUCAAUCCCCACUGUGUGGUCCACCUAAGAUUUGGAUCUGAUUAAUUUUUGGAACAAAGCCCUAAAAUGAUCUUGUAAAAUGGAUGGACGGCAUGGAUAUACAAAAAUAAAAAAAAAAAAAAAAAUCAAAGGUAGGCCUCAUGGUCAGCGCCUCAAUUGUUAUCCCUUGCUCACCGAAACGGUAAAUCGGUAAUUAAUGUUAAUAAAUGGGAAGGAGAGGGGUUGCUGGCACAGGUGGACCCCACCAUGGUAUUCAUGUGAAUCUAUCCUCACCAUCAGGUGUAUCACCCCCAUAUUAGACCAAGGAUAAAAAAACCAGCCCCAUUCAUGUUUUGUUUCAAGUGGACCACACAAUUGGAGACACUGAUAGGGCAAUGAUUAUGCUCUAAACUAUUUUCCUUCAUAUGGCCCACAAGAAUAAUGGAUGGGGUUGAUGUUAGGUCCUAGGCCCUUAGUUUUUGUAUGGCAUCUAAUUGUUGGAAUGGAUUUUAUAUGAUCAUCAUAGUGGGCCCUGUAAAUAUCAAUGAUGCACGUCUCUCUAACUAUUUCUUUUGAUGUGGCCCAUUCAAAUCACAGGUUGGCCUAAUUUUUUAGCCAUGGGCCUAACGUAGAAUUUUACAUGUAAUGAUCAGAGUGGAUCUCACUUACAUAUAAAGGUAGGCCUCUAAAAUAUAAAGGGUGAUCACAUCUCAUGCAUGACAUAGAGUAAUUUCUAACAUCUUUUCGAUAGUUAGGUUGAGUGGGCUCUACAUUGGUUUUGAUGUAAAAUCCAUGGCCCAAAAAUCAUCCCCAUUCGGAAUUAAAGGGGGCCAUAUGAUUGGAAAUAGUAUACAUGUCAAGGCUUACCUCUAAACAAUUUUUCCAUUGGUAUACCUGAAUCAUGGAUGGGCCUGAUUUUUCAGCCAGACGUGGUGUGGCAUCUAAUCACAAGAGUUGAUUUUAUAUAAUCAUCACGGUGGACCCCCUAUUAAUCUAGGUUGGAAGUCUCUCCCAUAAUUUUUCUCGCAAAUUUUUUUUCUCCCUUUGGUGUGGCCCACGUGAAUCACGUGUAAGCCUGAUUUUUUCACCCUUAGCCUAACAUGGGAUCACACAUCUAAUGGUCGGAAUAGAUCUCACAUGCACAUCAGAGUGUGUCCCUUGGAAAAUUAAGAGUGUGCAAUCCUAUUCUUUUACAAAAUCUCUUUCACACACACACACGGUUAAUUGCAUAUGAAAUAUUGUGAGGCUUUACUAAGCCCACACGCUUGUGAAUCAUGUUGAUCAACUGGUUAGGUGGGUUGCAUCAAAUGUACGGCUCUAAAACACUUGGCUGAAGUUUUCAAUCCCAUCCACAUGUUUCCAAUAUUAGAUUGGCAUAUCUGAUUUUCUUGGGUGCUUGUGUUCUAGAUUCUUCGAUGGGACAACACAAUAAGUCCAUAUAAAGAAAUUAAAAAAACUUACAAA